rnacentral:lncRNA from 1 species
AAUGACCUGGCCUCGGACAUCCAAAGGCUUUUUCCUCCUCUCCUCCUCAGACACCAGCUCCCAUGGACACACCCUGGGCCCUGUCAUCACCAGAAGCCAUUCAGCCUGCAAAUUCACAUGCUCAGCCACCUUACCCUCCAAGAUUCUCUGCUCCAAUACUCCCCAGAGCAAUGCUUCCCUCCCAGGGACCCCACUAGCCCAUGGACCUCUUUACAUUAUAUAACAUCUGCUCUUCCUUCCUUCUGCAACCAAGGGGAACAUCAAAUAAGUGGAUACGUGUGGAAAACUUUUGUAAGCUGUAGAGGGCUGCAUAAAGCGCGUAGCUUCACGUCUCUGCCUGUCCUGCCCCAGUUGGUUGACCUGGCCUUUUGAUGCUGGAAAGCGUCCCAGUGAUGACCUCAGUGGACAAGUCACUCCCCUCAGCUGGGCGCCUCCCCUCAGGCUCAGUAAAGUGACUCAUUUCAUUCUCACAACAACCUAUGAGGGACGGUGUCUACAGUCUCCACUUUAAUGAAGAGAAAGCUGAGCCCUACAGCGAGGACGGACAUCAUGCCCCAGACCCACAGCAGUUUCAAAAACCUGCAACUCAGCAUGUCUACUUCCUGCACGGGUCAGGAAGAGGAGGGGGCUUGGGGGAACUUCUUAGCCUCCCUGAGAGUUCGUUAUGCAAACGACGGAAAUGGGCCUAGAAAUGAAAAAAGCGGGCUCCACCCGACUGUAAAGCUCCUCAAGGCGCCCCUGUAUUCCCAGGGCCUCACUGUUUCUGGGACAGAACAGACUGAACGAGUGGACCUUCUUCCAUCCCCAGCCCGCCCUGCCCCAUCCCACCCCACACCUGAUCAGUGAGCUAAUACACACGGGGCUCUCGAACAGCGC